AUAUAGCCCUGAUGGAAGUGGUAGCUUUCUGAACUUGUUUCAGAAACUAAAACGAACAGCAGGGAAAUGG
rnacentral:sRNA from 1 species